CGUGCAGGCGGUUCGGUAAGUUGGAUGUGAAAGCUCCCGGCUCAACUAGGAGAUGCCGUUCAAUACUGUCGGACUAGAGGACGAUAGAGGAAGGUAGAAUUCCCGGUGUAGUGGUGAAAUGCGUAGAUAUCGGGAGGAAUACCAGUGGCGAAGGCGGCCUUCUGGGUCGUUCCUGACGCUAAGACGCGAAAGCAUGGGUAGCGAACG
rnacentral:rRNA from 1 species